rnacentral:rRNA from 1 species
GAUGAACGCUGGCGGCGUGCCUAACACAUGCAAGUCGAACGAAGCGCCUUACCGGAUUCUUCGGAUGAAGGUCUGGUGACUGAGUGGCGGACGGGUGAGUAACGCGUGGGUAACCUGCCCUGUACAGGGGGAUAACAGCUGGAAACGGCUGCUAAUACCGCAUAAGCGCACGAGGAGACAUCUCCUUGUGUGAAAAACUCCGGUGGUACAGGAUGGGCCCGCGUCUGAUUAGCUGGUUGGCAGGGUAACGGCCUACCAAGGCAACGAUCAGUAGCCGGUCUGAGAGGAUGAACGGCCACACUGGGACUGAGACACGGCCCAGACUCCUACGGGAGGCAGCAGUGGGGAAUAUUGCACAAUGGGCGCAAGCCUGAUGCAGCGACGCCGCGUGAGGGAUGACGGCCUUCGGGUUGUAAACCUCUUUCAGUAGGGAAGAAGCGAAAGUGACGUUACCUGCAGAAGAAGCACCGGCUAACUACGUG